GUGCUCACUUCAGCAGCUCACAUAAUAAAAUUGGAAUGAUGCAAAAAAGAUUAACAUGGACACUGCCCAAGGAUAACAUGCAAAUUCAUGUUUGAAAUUCAAAGUGAUU
ensembl:snRNA U6 U6 spliceosomal RNA